AUCAGUGGUCAUAGCAAGAGGGAUCACCUGAUAUCAUUCCGAACUCAGUAGUUAAAGCCUCUUUACGCUGAAAUGAAAAUUCGAAAGGUGAAAAUAGGGAACCGCUGUUU
rnacentral:rRNA from 1 species